UCCUACGGGGGGCAGCAGCGAGGAAUAUUGGUCAAUGGUCGGGAGACUGAACCAGCCAAGCCGCGUGAGGGAUGAAGGUACAGAGUAUCGUAAACCUCUUUUGUCAGGGAACAAAGGCGGGGACGUGUCCCCGGAUGAAUGUACCUGAAGAAAAAGCAUCGGCUAACUCCGUGCCAGCAGCCGCGGUAAUACGGAGGAUGCGAGCGUUAUCCGGAUUUAUUGGGUUUAAAGGGUGCGCAGGCGGUCUGUUAAGUCAGCGGUCAAAGCCCGGGGCUCAACCCCGGCCCGCCUUUGAAACUGGCAGC
rnacentral:rRNA from 1 species